ACAACAACGAACAUGGAGGCGAUGGUUCACCUGCUGCUCGGUCUGUGGCUUUCUGUCAGAUUCAAAGUAAUAGAAGAGUCGGAGAAAGCUGAGAGCGGCGAGUGGAAACACUCAGGAGACACACAGGAGAGUUUGGGAGGCGAUGCAGCAGUAUCAAGCUGAAGACAAGAGGAUAUGAACUAUGAUAUGAGGAUGUUCAGAGGGAGAUGAUGCCACAUCUGGUCCAGCUGAUGGAAGGUCUUGAAGUUCUCUGACUGGCCUCGACUGAAGAUGGUCGUCUCACUGGAUUUAAGAUGCACAAUGAAGGACGUCUGCAGUGACUGAGAAAGAGUCUCACCACAUCCUGACAUGAGGAAAAAGACUUUAUUGAAGACUACAAUGAGAAAAACUAUCAGACAGCAGACGGCUGCAUUCAAGGUGAGCUCUGAACAUUUGAUCUGGAACAGGAAUUCAAUAACUGCAGCAUGAGCUUCAUUUCAGUCUGUAGCUGCUGGAUUCAUGGAUGAAUCAUCUGGCACUAGAGAGGAAGACCAUCAAACAUCCACGUCAACAAGUUCACUGACUCCCCGACUCGUGGGUCUGAGGACGCCGUCGAGCCUCGGUCCAGCCGGCCUCCUGUCUGUGGGUGUUUGAGUGCUGAGAGGUUUGUGGAUGCAUGUGAACGUAUCUGUGUUGAAACAGCAGCUUUGGACUCAGUAACGCCGGGAAAAACCAAGAGCUCCUUUAUUUGUGACUUCCACUAAAAAAACUGAUGAAAAUAAGUUUGCCAGGGUUCUGACUGAUAACAGAUUAUUAAAUAAUGAAAAUAAUAGUUUAAAUAUUCCUUUAAACAAGCCUUUUAGGUCUACAUUUCCUUUACACUGACUUCUUGGUAUAUGUACAAGUAUUUUGGGUGGAAUAUACCAAUAAGCCCGAUGUUCAAGGGUUCUUCUGGGAAUAUACCAUUAAACCAACCUUUCAGGUAAAUGUUCUAAGAUGUUGGAUAGAAUAUACCAUCAUAUCAACCUGUUAGGUCUAUUUUGGAAGAUUUUAGAGUAGAAUAUUACUCCAAACCAUCCUUUAGCUCUACAUUUAAUGUGGAAUACUCCUUUACACCAAGAUUUUUUGGUCUACAUUGAAGGAUUUUAGGUGGAAUAUUCCUUUGAACAAGCUUUUUAAGUUUCUGUUCAAGGAUGUUGGGUGGAAUAUACCAUCAGACCAACCUCCAAGGUCUACAGUAGUGAAUUUUAGGUAGAAUAUACCAUUAAACUCACCUUUUAGGUCUACAUUGGAGUAUUUUAGGUGGAAUUUUCUUCCAAACCGUCUUUUACUCUACAUUUAAGGAUGUUUAGGAUGGUAUAUUCUUCCAAACCAACUUCUCAGGUCUACAUUUCAGGUGGAAUAUUCCUCCAUACUAACUUUUUUGGUCUACAUUGAAGGAUUCUUUCUAAACCACCCUUUCAGGUCUAUAUUUGAGGUUUUAGGUGGAAUAUUCCUUUUAACCAGCCCCUCAGGUCUCUGAGGAUUUUGGAUGGAAUACUCGGUUAAACCAACAUUUUCGGUGCAUGUCCAAGGAUUUUAGGUGGAAUGUUCCUUUAAGGUGGAUGUUUGAGGACCUUGUAGGUGGAAUACUUCCUGAAACCAACCCUUUAGGUCAACAUUCAAAGAUUUAAGGUGGAAUAUUCCAUUACACCAACCUAAAUUUCAUGUUUUGGUCAUUUUCAAGUGAGAAACCUCAAUCCAGACUCCUCAUAAUGACAUUUGACAUUUAUGCUGCUGUUAUUUUUUUAGUCCAGACUAAAUGACAGAAAUCCACAACUGUAAUUUUAUUUCAGGACUCAGUUAUUCAAUGUCAAAACAAUCCAUGUGACUCUAAAAACUCAACAGCUUUACAAACUCUAAGAUUAAACUCUCCACAAGGAUCCAAAAUAAGUUGGACUUCUACAUGAGAGCUUUAAUUAUUCUUCAUCUACUUCCUGAAAAGUCUGGUCAAUAAAAAAGACAAAAACUAAUAUUUUCAGCUGAACUAAAGACAGACUGAUUUUUCUGCUCACAUGUUGUUGUAAACUUCCUCUUUCAAAUAAAUAUCCUCCUAACCCCCUGGAAACCAGCGUUUGUCCUGUUUUUGUGUUGCUCCUCUGCGACCCUAGACAGCCAGGUCGUAAUGUCUUUUGAGCAACACACCAUACUAUGACGUUUUUACAAUGAUGGUUCUACUAUGGAACCAGUUUGACAUGUUCAGGCGUUCUUUGUGUGAAAACUCAGAUUUCAGGGAUUUCUUUGUUAACUUUCUGCUUCAACUUUAAAUUAAAUUUCCUUCACUAACCCCGCCCUCUGGACUUCCAGGAAGCUGUGUUCCUAUUGGCUGUCCAGGUGGCUGCUUGGUGUUAUCAGGAACACCUGAGCAGCUCAGUGUCUUCCUGCUUUAUUUAGCUGCAGACAAACAUUUCCUCUGCUUCUGUUCACCACUGAACCGGGUUUGGCUCUGUUGCCUUAGUUUGUUCUUUAGGCGUUGGCUUGCAGCUUCCAGCAGUAAAAUCAUCUUUAAUGUGUUUCUUGGUGUGUUUUAGGGCUUUGUACUGGAUAGUUGUCUUGGUAAAUGUGGUUCUUUAGCCAGUUAGCACGUGGUGCUAAUGUGUGCAGUGAUUAGUGGAUUUGGUACAGCUGAGUUGUGUCUUUAUCUUGGCUGUAGUGAGUCUUUAGAGGUUUUUGCUCAGACACAUUCUGGAUUCUUGUUUGAGAAGCAACAUUGGUUGUCCAGAAGGUAAGAGUUCCUGUCCUGAUUCUCUGUUCUCAGAGGUUCUCUGGUAGGCUGUAGGAGACUUUAGUGUUUGGGUUGUGCUAGUUUGGUUUUUGUACGGUUUCAUUUAGACGACUAUCUUGAGGCCCCUCCAUGUGGUUUAGUGAGGUUUUCUGCAACAGUUCUACAUAGCAACCUGCAGCAGAAGAGACUUUGAGAGUUUUCAGGAAGUUCUGGAGACCAGACUUUAGAGCAGCAGAAACAUUUGUCAGCAGUUUGAGCAGGAGAAGGUGAGCUUUAGAGUAGAAAUGAGACGGAAACCUUCUUGACCCAUGUGGUUAGGUCCUGUACCAAGAGUUUGAGCAGGUUGUGAAGAGUCUGUAGUUCUUUGGUCUGAAAGCACAAGAAGAGUUGACUCAUUAAAGGAGAAAACCGGUGAUAUUGUUGGUUCUUCUGUCACUCUGCAGUUUCCAGUUUCCAUAGACUGAAUAUCAAGUUUAUAUUUUAAAUGAUUUCCCAUGUGAGCCCAAGACUUCAAUAAACUCCCCCCAUCCCCUGGACACAACACAUUUAAUUAUGAUGUUAAAUCUUUUUUUUUUUUUUUUUUAAUGUUUUUGAGUUUUAAUCAUAGUUUUAGCAUAGUUUUUUUCUCUUUGUUUAAUUUUGUCAUCUGUGUGAAAGGUGCUAAACAAAUAAAGUUGAAUUGAUAAACUGAAUAAUUGACUAACUCAU